UAAAAUUGGGGAAGAAACCCACUUCAUUCUCCAAACCUACCUUCAAGUUACAGGGGAUGAAGAGAACUAGCAUCAAAUCUCGCUUCAAAGGCACAAUGAAGUUGAUGAAUGUUGUAUCUGAAGACUGCACGAAUUUGGAAGACCACCAUCUUCUUGCUCUUCCAUAGUUGAUGCUUAAAUCUUUACUCAAUUUGAAAUCGGUUUGCUCUAUACAAGAGAUUUGAGAGCGUUGAUCGAGUAUUGUAGUUUAAAGACACUGCAAAAGAUUGGAGGUGAAAUUUCAAAACUUUGAGAACGUCUGCAGAUUUGCUUAAAAAAGGUGCGUCAUAUUCAUUUGAUGUUAAUAAAGCAAUAUCGCUCGAUGAAAAUUCAUCAAUGGAGGAAUUUUACGAGUUUCGUGCAAUAGUGAGGGAUGAAGGAUCUAAUUGUUUGGCAUAUGUGCAAGACGCAGAUAUGAUUCAUGUUCAAGCAAAUUAUAGAAGAGAGGAGCUAAUGUAUGACCAUUUGCAUCCUCCUAUUCGGCGAGGAAAAGGUGGUGUUGCAGGUAGGAAGGUACGUGCUGUUGAGAGAGGUCGAGCACCUAUUGAAAUGGGUGAAGAUGAUCAAACCACACAAGAUUCCCAAGCAGUUUCGAAUUAAACAAACAAAUAUUGCGACGGUCCCAUGUGCGCAAAUUCCCUUGUUUUGAUCAAGUAUUGUUGCCUUGUUCUGCCAUUAAGCCACAGGACUACGAUUGAUCAUCAAAUACAUUGCGAGAACAACCAUCAUAUUUCAGGUCAUCUGAGUGCAAAUGCGUGUAGUUAUCUAGAAUUCGUGGAGCAGUUUUUAAUGGAAGACAUUACAUAUGAAACAAUAAAUAUAUUGUAUACAUUUUA